rnacentral:misc_RNA from 1 species
AUUAUUGUGUGUGCGCUAAUCGCCACUAUUUUUUAUUAUUAUUGUAUUUUAAAGUAUAGUUUUUAGGUAGUUGCAGCUGGCCAGUCUGCGUUCCACAAACUAUACUUAGCCACGGGCAUACAAUUCCGGCAACUCGCUUUCUCUUUCAGAAUUUCAAAAUCGGCGAUAGCCACAAUCGUUUCAGA